rnacentral:rRNA from 1 species
AUACGGAGGGUGCGAGCGUUAAUCGGAAUUACUGGGCGUAAAGGGUGCGUAGGCGGUUUUUUAAGUCAGAUGUGAAAGCCCUGGGCUUAACCUGGGAACUGCAUUUGAAACUGGGAGGCUAGAGUUUGGUAGAGGGGAGUGGAAUUUCCGGUGUAGCGGUGAAAUGCGUAGAGAUCGGAAGGAACACCAGUGGCGAAGGCGACUCUCUGGACCAAAACUGACGCUGAGGUGCGAAAGCGUGGGUAGCAAACAGGAUUAGAUACCCCAGUAGUCC